CAUCGAGCCGCGUCACAUGCAGCAGCGGGCGGCGGGGCGGCGCGUAAAUAAAUAAAUAAACAGCGCGAACCAGCGCUGCCGCGGCGAUACCUACCCCCGCACUAGUGGUGCCGUGUGGGUUGCGCCAGGUGAAGUCCUGCACAGGAGUCCUGUCAGGGGUCCCACGAGCAAGCCGGAGCCGUGCGGGUGUUUGUCUGCGGAGAGGAACGGAAAAGAGACUGUGACAUAAAAAAAAACCCCAAACCCGCAAAAUAUCCAACAAUAGAAAUGUGGAACUGAGAGCGAAUCCCUUCUUGCCCUGGCCGGCGGUGCAGGGAGCUGUGGUACCGGCAGCAUCGGAGCAAGAGCCAGGCGGAGCUUCACUACCGACAAUAGGAUCGUGGCUAUGCCGGUGCUGUGGGAGGGCUUCACUUCCAAGUCAUGAGUGUUAGGUGAAUAUUUCUGCAUAGGAAAUGCUUUUUUGCGAAGUGUGAGCGGGGGAGUAAUGCCGUCCCAUAUGAUCCUGCAACCUUGCUUCGGAACCCGCCUCUGAAACAGGCUGCCAUGCCUCUGUUUCACUCUGUGUGUCUCUCUGUGACCACGGGGAAAGUUCCUUCAGCCUGACAGUUUGCAAACCACCCAGUCCAGGUGGAUGGCAUCCCGGAGGGCCUGUCUGCACUGCUCUGAAGCCUCGGCUUGUAGGCAUCAGAGUCUGCCAGAGCUACCACCUUCAAAGUGUAGCUGGGGACAGAUUUGUUUCUGGGAAAACGUUCCUGGAUGCAUGUGCUUCAUAGGGAAGCUAUGUGCUGCACUAGUUCUGAGUGUGCUAUGUGUGUAAACUAGUUCCAAGUGCGCUCUGUGCGUAAACUAGUUCUAAGUGCAGCACCAGACAAAUGAUACUUCAGUCAAAUUCGGUUUUCAAUGGUUUUGUUUGCUUCCAUAUAUAUAUAUAUAUAAAUAAAAGUAGAAAGAAUGUCAAAAAGGCGUGCAGAGCAAUACUCAUAUGUUUAAAAUAAUAUAUAUGGCUACAUAAUCUAUUUAAAUUGCCCUUUUCCCCCCAAGGAGCACAAGUAGACCACGAUUUGACCUGAUAAGGGAAAAGAAACAAUUUGUAGCAAAACCACUAACUGAAGCCACGAGAAAUCAGAUGGCUGGUUUUCAGAUUUUGAUGAUUUUUUGUUUUGUAAUACCUCUUUACACUAUACUUGUGAAUAUUGUCUGAAGUACCAUCACACAAAGUCUUUACAAAUGUGUAAGUAAUGUUUCAAAUGACAUGUGAGGCCUGUCAUUCAUCCUUUGACAGUAGUGAACUGAACACUGCACAGCAGUUACAACAUUCUGGCAAACUGCAAUAAUAAAAUAGUGAUCAAAGUGUAAUAUCAAAGCUGUGUUCCUACAGAGGCUUAAGCAUAUAUUUAAACACGCCAUAGGUUGGCUGAGGAAGGCUUAAAACAAGGCUAUUCAUAGAACUUUUCAUGCUUGAGAUAGGUUUGCUGAAUAAAAAUACUUUGAAUGCAUUUAAGAGUAAUUAUAAUUAAUCUGGUAAUUUAAUAAACAAUAGAAGGCCUUUGUGAA